rnacentral:rRNA from 1 species
GACGAACGCUGGCGGCGUGCUUAACACAUGCAAGUCGAACGGAAAGGCCCUGCUUUUGUGGGGUGCUCGAGUGGCGAACGGGUGAGUAACACGUGAGUAACCUGCCCUUGACUUUGGGAUAACUUCAGGAAACUGGGGCUAAUACCGGAUAGGAGCUCCUGCUGCAUGGUGGGGGUUGGAAAGUUUCGGCGGUUGGGGAUGGACUCGCGGCUUAUCAGCUUGUUGGUGGGGUAGUGGCUUACCAAGGCUUUGACGGGUAGCCGGCCUGAGAGGGUGACCGGCCACAUUGGGACUGAGAUACGGCCCAGACUCCUACGGGAGGCAGCAGUGGGGAAUAUUGCACAAUGGGCGGAAGCCUGAUGCAGCAACGCCGCGUGCGGGAUGACGGCCUUCGGGUUGUAAGCCGCUUUCGCCUGUGACGAAGCGUGAGUGACGGUAAUGGGUAAAGAAGCACCGGCUAACUACGUGCCAGCAGCCGCGGUGAUACGUAGGGUGCGAGCGUUGUCCGGAUUUAUUGGGCGUAAAGGGCUCGUAGGUGGUUGAUCGCGUCGGAAGUGUAGUCUUGGGGCUUAACCCUGAGCGUGCUUUCGAUACGGGUUGACUUGAGGAAGGUAGGGGAGAAUGGAAUUCCUGGUGGAGCGGUGGAAUGCGCAGAUAUCAGGAGGAACACCAGUGGCGAAGGCGGUUCUCUGGGCCUUUCCUGACGCUGAGGAGCGAAAGCGUGGGGAGCGAACAGGCUUAGAUACCCUGGUAGUCCACGCUGUAAACGGUGGGUACUAGGUGUGGGGUCCAUUCCACGGGUUCCGUGCCGUAGCUAACGCUUUAAGUACCCCGCCUGGGGAGUACGGCCGCAAGGCUAAAACUCAAAGGAAUUGACGGGGCCCCGCACAAGCGGCGGAGCAUGCGGAUUAAUUCGAUGCAACGCGUAGAACCUUACCUGGGUUUGACAUGGAUCGGGAGUGCUCAGAGAUGGGUGUGCCUCUUUUGGGGUCGGUUCACAGGUGGUGCAUGGCUGUCGUCAGCUCGUGUCGUGAGAUGUUGGGUUAAGUCCCGCAACGAGCGCAACCCUUGUUCACUGUUGCCAGCACGUUAUGGUGGGGACUCAGUGGAGACCGCCGGGGUCAACUCGGAGGAAGGUGGGGAUGACGUCAAGUCAUCAUGCCCCUUAUGUCCAGGGCUUCACGCAUGCUACAAUGGCUGGUACAGAGAGUGGCGAGCCUGUGAGGGUGAGCGAAUCUCGGAAAGCCGGUCUCAGUUCGGAUUGGGGUCUGCAACUCGACCUCAUGAAGUCGGAGUCGCUAGUAAUCGCAGAUCAGCAACGCUGCGGUGAAUACGUUCCCGGGGCU